AGGGUUUUAUGUAGAAAUUAGACCCUAUUAGUUUAAGUGCACGAUAAGUGCUUUCUAAUUAAUAAAAUUAUGUUAAAAAAUAUUAUUAUUAUUGUAAUAGGUAAAUUUUGACACGGGCCCAAGAUCCAAAAAAUAUAAUAAAUAAAAAUAGAAUCUAAUUUUUUUAAAUAGUCCAAAUUACAAAUCCAAUCUCUAACCCAAUUACAUCAGCCCAAUCCCCAAAAUUACUAAAACCAUAGGCCAAGAGGCCCAAAAUAUUUAAACACUUCAGGGAAAAUCUAACCCUAGCCCCUAACAGCUUUGCGCCGCUGCUCCCAUUGCGCUACCCUCCCAUGUAUGGCCUCCACGCACCACCGCACGCCACGUCGCAAUCACCGUACUUGCAAGAAGGACAAGAACGCAACAACACAGAAAAUAUGGAAAAAAAAUGAAACUUUGUAUUUAUUUUUCGGCUAUAAAAAGCCACAAGAAUCAAUGUAAAUUUUUUACAGACGAAUACACAGAGAUAGCAAUCAAAAUAAUAUAAAUUUUCUAAAGGUGGUUUAUUUUUCUGUUUUCCCUUUUCAUCUUUUUUUUAUUUUGUUUAUUUUUUAAAGAAACAAACGAAAAAAAAAUCUUACCUUUUCAGUUAUAUCGUUGUGAAAAGGGGGGCCGAGGUUACCAUCUCCGAUGAAAGAUGGCGUCUUUAGACUCGGGAAGCCAAAAAACCUCAAAAAAUGAGACUUUUUGUUUUUUGGCAACCACGGACGGCGGCUCCGUCGCCGGCAACAGACGGCUGCCAUGGUGGUCUGAUGCCGGAGUCUAGAUUUUGGCAGAAGGGAGUUUGAGAGAAAAAUAAGUGUUUCAGGUUUUUUUUUAAGAAAGAAAGCAGGAAAA
rnacentral:lncRNA from 1 species